UCCUGGGUGGCUCAGUGGUAAAGAAUCUGCCUGCCAAUGCAGAAAACAUGGGUUCGAUUCCUGGAUCAGGAA
rnacentral:tRNA from 1 species